rnacentral:tRNA from 1 species
GAGGGGAUAGCUCAGUGGUAGAGUGCAUGCUUAGCGUGCACAAGGUCCUGGGUUCAAACCCAGUACCUCCA